rnacentral:rRNA from 1 species
CAUGCAAGUCGAACGGAAACGAUGGAAGCUUGCUUCCAGGCGUCGAGUGACGGACGGGUGCGUAACGCGUAGGAAUCUACCCAGUAGUUGGGGACAACACGGAGAAAUUCGUGCUAAUACCGAAUACGGUCUACGGACUAAAGGGGGCCUCUUCUUGAAAGCUCUCGCUAUUGGAUGAGCCUGCGUCAGAUUAGCUUGUUGGUGGGGUAAUGGCCUACCAAGGCGACGAUCUGUAGCUGGUCUGAGAGGAUGAUCAGCCACACUGGGACUGAGACACGGCCCAGACUCCUACGGGAGGCAGCAGUGGGGAAUAUUGGACAAUGGGGGAAACCCUGAUCCAGCAAUGCCGCGUGUGUGAAGAAGGCCCGAGGGUUGUAAAGCACUUUCAGUAAGGAGGAAAUCGUCAAGGUUAAUACCCUUGUAAAUGACGUUACUUACAGAAGAAGCACCGGCUAACCCCGUGCCAGCAGCCGCGGUAAUACGGAGGGUGCGAGCGUUAAUCGGAAUUACUGGGCGUAAAGCGCGCGUAGGCGGUUUGGUCAGUCAGAUGUGAAAGCCCCGGGCUCAACCUGGGAACUGCAUUUGAUACUGCUGAACUAGAGUGUGGUAGAGGGAAGUGGAAUUCCGGGUGUAGCGGUGAA